rnacentral:lncRNA from 1 species
AUACAUUUCUGGAUGUUCCUACUUCUUCUGAUUUAUUGCCCAACAACAGGGAGAGGCUUCCGUCAGAGAACUUUGAUUUCUGAGGCACACAAAAUCCACGGUUACUUCUCGAAUUGCCUUCCUAUUUGUUUGUUCCCGAAAAAUGCUAAUUAAAUGGGAUGCUAUCAAGUGACUUUGUGAAAUUUCUUUUCAAAAGCAAAUCUAAUCUUAUGCAUCUACAAAAUGCUUUCCGAAUAAAUUAUCGAUCUGUUACAUGACAUUGAUGGGGUUCGAGACCUUGAGCCCCUAUUUUUGACUAAGUGGAAUAUGUUCAUCUUAUAGUUUUCUAUUUUCUUCGGGACCUUUGCCUCAAGUUUCUCCAUCAUUUGGUGUAAGUCUAGCUAUUGACAUGACAUUAAUAUUGAAUAAGUUUCCAUCGACCUGUAAUCAUUUGGACUAUAACACAUCAAACAUCUUGUCAAGCUUUUAUAAAUAGGCAGCUUGGUAUGGUUAAACAUAUAAUAGAUUAGAAAAACAUAUAUUGAAAGAAUGGAGCAGACAUUCUCAUCGGCACCAAACCUUGUAGUAUACCAAAGUGGCAAAUUAUAUGGAAGAAGAAUCAU